rnacentral:lncRNA from 1 species
GGCCGGUGAAUCUCAAACUCAAACUCCCGGGUGAUGUUACAGGUGUAGAUACCCGAAUCGUUCAAGGUGACAUUUAACACAGUGAUGGACACAUCCUGCAUGUCUUUACUCCCAUUCCAUUGUAUCCGACCACUGAAGCGGCUUGGAAAUUCAUGAUUCAUUUUCCUGUGCUCGUAGAUGGGUUCAUCUUUGCCACCCUCCGGCCUGUA